AGAAAAGAAGGAAGAACAAGAACAAGAAGAAGGAGAAAAGGGAGCUCGGGGUCGGCCUUUAAUGGCAGAUGGGAGGUGCGUCUAUUUGAGGCACGGCGAAGCUAACCGGAGAUGCAGCUUGCAUCGGCAAGCUCAGGGGUGGUGACGAUGGCAGCAGUUGGGAACAUCGGCAGGAGAUGAAAAGAAAAGAAAAGAAAUCAGUAGCUUUUUGGACGCCGUUCAUGGCGUUUCCAGCGUCAGUAGCCACUAUUUUUGGUGGCAAACGAC
rnacentral:lncRNA from 1 species